rnacentral:rRNA from 2 species
UGAACGGGUGAAUGCGCAGAUAUCAGAAGAACACCGAUGGCGAAGGCAGUCACUGGCCCGCAACUUGACGCUGAGNAGCGAAAGCAUGGGGAGCGAACAGGAUUAGAUACCCUGGUAGUCCAUGCCGUAAACGUUGGGCACUAGGUGUGGGGCUCAUUCCACGAGUUCCGUGCCGCAGCAAACGCAUUAAGUGCCCCGCCUGGGGAGUACGGCCGCAAGGCUAAAACUCAAAGAAAUUGACGGGGGCCCGCACAAGCGGCGGAGCAUGCGGAUUAAUUCGAUGCAACGCGAAGAACCUUACCAAGGCUUGACAUACACCGGAAAAGUGCAGAGAUGUGCUCCCCGUAAGGUCGGUGUACAGGUGGUGCAUGGUUGUCGUCAGCUCGUGUCGUGAGAUGUUGGGUUAAGUCCCGCAACGAGCGCAACCCUCGUCCCAUGUUGCCAGCGGGUUAUGCCGGGGACUCAUGGGAGACUGCCGGGGUCAACUCGGAGAAAGGUGGGGAUGACGUCAAAUCAUCAUGCCCCUUAUGUCUUGGGCUUCACGCAUGCUACAAUGGCCGGUACAAAGGGCUGCGAUACCGCGAGGUGGAGCGAAUCCCAAAAAGCCGGUCUCAGUUCGGAUUGGGGUNUGCAACUCGACCCCAUGAAGUNGGAGUCGCUAGUAAUUGCANAUNAANCANGUAGGUA